rnacentral:rRNA from 1 species
AGUGAACGCUGGCGGCAGGCCUAACACAUGCAAGUCGAGCGGCAGCGGGUCCCCGCGAGGGGAUGCCGGCGAGCGGCGGACGGGUGAGGAACACAUCGGAAUCUGCCUGGUUGUGGGGGAUAACGUAGGGAAACUUACGCUAAUACCGCAUGCGACCCUGAGUCGACGGACUGGGGGUGAAAGUGAGGGACCUUCGGGCCUCACGCGACCAGAUGAGCCGAUGUCGGAUUAGCUAGUUGGCGGGGUAACGGCCGCCAAGGCGACGAUCCGUAGCUGGUCUGAGAGGAUGAUCAGCCACACUGGGACUGAGACACGGCCCAGACUCCUACGGAGGCAGCAGUGGGGAAUCUUGGACAAUGGGCGCAAGCCUGAUCCAGCCA